ensembl:snoRNA U3 Small nucleolar RNA U3
AAGACUAUACUUUCAGGGAUCAUUUUUAUAGUUUGUUAGUAGGGAAGUUAUUCUGAACGUGUAGAGCAUCCAAAGUCACGAAGAAGAGGCGUAGUGUUCUCUCCUGAGUGUGAAGCGGGGGUUUUUGGUGUUGCCUCAGUGCAACUGCGAUUUGCCAUUGAUGAUGGAUCUUCUCUCCACUUUGGAGAGUAAGAGGGAGAGGGCGUGGUCUGAGUGGU